rnacentral:rRNA from 1 species
GUAGGGAAUAUUGCACAAUGGGGGAAACCCUGAUGCAGCGACGCCGCGUGAGUGAUGAAGGCCUUCGGGUCGUAAAGCUCUGUCGUAUGGGACUAACAAAAUGAAGGUACCAUGCAAGAAAGGAUCGGCUAACUUCGUGCCAGCAGCCGCGGUAAGACGAGGGAUCCUAGCGUUGUUCGGAAUUAUUGGGCGUAAAGCGGGUGUAGGCGGGCCUGUCAGUCAGGUGUGAAAUCCCAGGGCUUAACCCUGGAAGUGCACUUGAUACUGCAGGUCUUGAGUGUGGUAGAGGCUAUUAGAAUUCUUGGUGUAGUGGUGAAAUACGUAGAUAUCAAGAGGAAUACCGGAGGCGAAGGCGGAUAGCUGGGCCAACACUGACGCUGAGACCCGAAAGCGUGGGGAUCAAACAGGAUUAGAUACCCGAGUAGUCC